AUGGAUGCUUGGGAGGAUGCAGUAGAAGAGCAGAGAAAAUGGCAACAGGAUAAGGGGUGGAAAACCCCUAGGUGGGACAGGAAUUGGGUAGCCGAGAAUUGUUUCAACUGGGAAGCGCUGCGAGCAGAGUUCCAGAGGUGGCAGGAGAGUCAUAAAAGCAAAGGCAAGGAAGGGAAAGGGUCCUUCAUUGGGCUCCUCACAGAGGCAUUAGCAGCUGCAGGCACUUUGUUUAAAACUACACGGCAGAAACUAGAAACUGCCUCGCAGGAUGCCUUGCAGCGAGCUAAAGACGCAGAAGCGCAAGCGAAAGACGCAGAAGCACGAGCGCAGGAUGCCGAAGCACGAGCAGCUGCCUACGAAUCUCACAGCCUUAUUAAGGACCACUUGCUGCAACAAUUAGAGACGAACCUCAGACCCCUGGCUUUAAGCCAGCUGGAGCAAGAGCAUACGCGCCCGGUCUCUGAGAGUGAGAUCAUUGACGAAAUGCACACACUGAAAAACGACAACGAGGAUUCCGAUUUUAGCAACGGGCUGUCUACGCCCACCUCGUUGCCCGAAUCUAACCCAGACGAGACAGCCUCUCGGUACCCCAUCACACAGCUCCCGGCUCCUGCCAGGGACGAAGGCUCUCCUCAGGCGGCGAUGGCUGCUUUAAAUUUUAAUUCAGGACAACUCUGGCAGAAGUUCAUGCAGUUCAGCAAGAAAUCCAGCGAGGACUGGCUGGGGUGGGUGGCGCGAUGCUAUCAGAUGGGGGCUGGAACACUCAUUCUUAAUCAGAACGAGGCUAGACAAAUAUUCCUGGGAGGGGGGAUAAUUCUUCACAACCCCGAUGAGGGGGCCGAACAGAACACCUUUUCUCUACUAUCUUCAAUUAUACACGCUGUCAGACAAAUGCAGGUACGGUGGGGAUACAGCCCCCCUCCUCCCUGGAACACCCGCAAUGGGUUUGCCAAGUGGACGAUGAGACUGGCUGCCUGGGAUGCCCUUAAGGCCCAGGGGGCCAUCCCAGAGGACAUGAUGUCUAUGAUGGCUACAGAAGCAGGGAAAUCGAGGCUACUGGAAAACGCGGCGUACGGGGGAGCGAAGGGUUUGGCCUUAAUGCUGUACAGCAGGACUUACGAUUGGAACACUAUAAUGGUCCAAGGGCUGCAGUACUGGGUAGCCUUUAUGAAAAACACCCCCAAAUCAACAGCUCGCCAAAGGGAAGGGUGGGUCAGGGUCACCCAGACACCAAGAGGAAAUCACAAAAAGGGGCAAAAUGUUCGUAAAUUCCCCGCUGAGAUGAAUCGCCCUGACACAAGAAGAUCCCCUGACAAACAGGAGCGAGACCUGGAGCGGAGACGCUUGUGGGGUCUCCUGCGGGGGAUAGGAUUCACACCAGGACAAUUAGACAAGAUGCCCACGUUCCUCUUACAGAGACUGUGGGAUAAUCGCAAAAGGGAUUGCUCCUGCACCCCCAGUGUGAGUGAAGAGAAGCUGACAGACAGCGUUGAUCCAUCUGCUUCUCUGAUCCCGACCCCAGAUAACCCAUCCCCUCCCCCAGUCCCUGAUUCGGGAAACUGA
rnacentral:lncRNA from 1 species